rnacentral:rRNA from 2 species
GGCUUCAAGCUUACCAAAAACAUAUCAAACUCGAUGCAGCAGAUGAUGAUGGAGUCAGACUGUACGAGAUAAGUGACAGUCGAAAGGGAAACAGCCCAGACACAGCUAAGGUCCCAAAGUACGUGUUAAGUGGAAAAGGAUGUGGGAUUUCAAAGACAACUAGGACGUUGGCUUAGAAGCAGCCAUACAUUGAAAGAGUGCGUAAUAGCUCACUAGUCGAGAGAUCCUGCGCCGAAAAUGUCCGGGGCUAAAACACGACACCGAAGCUGUGGAAUGUAGUAAUACAUUGGUAGAGGAGCAUUGUAAGCGGGAUGAAGCCAUACCGUAAGGAGUGGUGGACUGCUUAGAAGAGAGAAUGCCGGAAUGAGUAGCGAGAGGAAGGUGAGAAUCCUUCCGGCCGAAUAUCUAAGGUUUCCAGAGUAAAGCUGAUCUGCUCUGGGUAAGUCGGGACCUAAGGCGAGGGCGAGAGCCGUAGUCGAUGGAUAACUGGUUGAAAUUCCAGUACCACAUAAAAACAGAACUGUGGGGACACAGAAGGGAAAUGGGAGCCAGGAAUGGAAAAACUGGCGCAAGCGAAGGAGCCGUAUGGGAGGCAAAACCCCCAUGCAAGGCAAAGGCGUUACGCGGACCGAACAAAAGUAGGGAAGCCCAGGCCCCCAGCUGUCAAGAAAAGCCGCUAUUGUUUUUUAUGUGCCCGUACCGUAAACCGACACAGGUGGAUGAGGAGAGAAUCCUAAGGCCGACGGGAGAAGUGUUGUUAAGGAACUCGGCAAAAUGACUCCGUAACUUCGGGAGAAGGAGUGCCAUAGCGAUAUGGCCGCAGAGAAUUGGCCCAAGCAACUGUUUAGCAAAAACACAGGUCUAUGCAAAACCGCAAGGUGAAGUAUAUGGGCUGACGCCUGCCCGGUGCUGGAAGGUUAAGGGGAGGGCUUAGCGAUUCGUCGCGAAGGUCUGAACUUAAGCCCCAGUAAACGGCGGCCGUAACUAUAACGGUCCUAAGGUAGCGAAAUUCCUUGUCGGGUAAGUUCCGACCCGCACGAAAGGCGUAAUGAUUUGGGCACUGUCUCAACAACACACCCGGUGAAAUUGAAAUACCAGUGAAGAUGCUGGUUACCUGCGCCAGGACGGAAAGACCCCAUGGAGCUUUACUCCAGCUUGAUACUGGGAUUCGGUACUGCAUGUACAGGAUAGGUGGGAGACUGAGAAGAAAGGACGCCAGUCCUUUUAGAGUCACUGUUGGGAUACCACCCUUGCAGUAUUGGAUUUCUAACCAACAGCCGUGAUCCGGCUGGGGGACAAUGUCAGGUGGGGAGUUUGACUGGGGCGGUCGCCUCCGAAAGGGUAUCGGAGGCGCUCAAAGGUCUUCUCAGAAUGGACGGAAACCAUUCGCAGAGUGCAAAGGCAGAAGAAGGCUUGACUGUGACACCGACGGGUGGAGCAGGUACGAAAGUAGGACUUAGUGAUCCGGUGGUAUAACGUGGGAUUGCCAUCGCUCAACGGAUAAAAGCUACCCUGGGGAUAACAGGCUUAUCACUCCCAAGAGUUCACAUCGACGGAGUGGUUUGGCACCUCGAUGUCGGCUCAUCGCAUCCUGGAGCUGUAGCAGGUUCCAAGGGUUGGGCUGUUCGCCCAUUAAAGCGGUACGCGAGCUGGGUUCAGAACGUCGUGAGACAGUUCGGUCCCUAUCCGGCGCAGGCGGAGGAAAUUUGAUAGGAGCUGUCCUUAGUACGAGAGGACCGGGAUGGACGGACCACUGGUGGAUCUGUUGUAUUACCAAAUGCAUAGCAGAGUAGCCAAGUCUGGAAGGGAUAAACGCUGAAGGCAUCUAAGCGUGAAGCCCCCCUAAAGAUAAGAUUUCCCAUAGAGUAAUCUAGUAAGACCCCUUGAAGACGACGAGGUAGAUAGGGCAGAGGUGGAAGUACGGCAACGUAUGGAGCUGACUGUUACUAAUCGGUCGAGGCUUUAACCAA